rnacentral:rRNA from 1 species
GAUGAACGCUGGCGGCGUGCCUAACACAUGCAAGUCGAGCGAUUUACUUCGGUAAAGAGCGGCGGACGGGUGAGUAACGCGUGGGUAACCUGCCCUAUACACACGGAUAACAUACCGAACGGGAUGCUAGACGAGAUCAUAUAAGAGAUUCACAUGGAUUUCUUAUCAAAGCUGAGGCGGUAUAGGAUGGACCCGAGUCUGAGUAGCUAGUUGGUAAGGUAACGGCUUACCAAGGAGACGAUCAGUAGCCGACCUGAGAGGGUGAUCGGCCACAUUGGAACUGAGACACGGUCCAAACUCCUACGGGAGGCAGCAGUGGGGAAUAUUGCACAAUGGGCGAAAGCCUGAUGCAGCAACGCCGCGUGAGUGAUGAAGGCCUUCGGGUCGUAAAACUCUGUCCUCAAGGAAGAUAAUGACGGUACUUGAGGAGGAAGCCCCGGCUAACUACGUGCCAGCCGCCGCCGUAAUAC